UGGGGAAUAUUGGACAAUGGGCGAAAGCCUGAUCCAGCAAUGCCGCGUGAGUGAUGAAGGCCCUCGGGUCGUAAAGCUCUUUUACCAGGGAUGAUAAUGACAGUACCUGGAGAAUAAGCUCCGGCUAACUCCGUGCCAGCAGCCGCGGUAAUACGGAGGGAGCUAGCGUUGUUCGGAAUUACUGGGCGUAAAGCGCACGUAGGCGGCUAUUCAAGUCAGAGGUGAAAGCCCGGGGCUCAACCCCGGAACUGCCUUUGAAACUAGAUAGCUAGAAUCUUGGAGAGGUCAGUGGAAUUCCGAGUGUAGAGGUGAAAUUCGUAGAUAUUCGGAAGAACACCAGUGGCGAAGGCGACUGACUGGACAAGUAUUGACGCUGAGGUGCGAAAGCGUGGGGAGCAAACA
rnacentral:rRNA from 1 species